rnacentral:rRNA from 1 species
UACGAAGGGUGCAAACGUUGCUCGGAAUUACUGGGCGUAAAGCGUGCGUAGACGGUAGCGUAAGUCGGGUGUGAAAGCCCCGGGCUCAACCUGGGAAUUGCAUUCGAGACUGCUCUGCUAGGGUGCGGAAGAGGGAAGCGGAAUUUCCGGUGUAGCGGUGAAAUGCGUAGAUAUCGGGUAGAACACCAGUGGCGAAGGCGGCUAUCUGGACGGACACUGACGCUGAGACGCGAAAGCGUGGGGAGCAAACAGG